AUUAUGUUCUUUGAUAUAAUUAUUAUAAAGGGAAUACAAUAUCUUUGUAUAACUAGAAAACGCGCUGAAUUGACGUACCUCCAAGUAGAACAGCAUCUUGCACAAUAUUAUUUGGUAGCUCUGCCUCCUACAAACUUUCCAACAGAGGGCAUCGAAAAGUUUAUCACCCCCCUAGCAUGGCGCAUUUUACAGAACUGAUCCAGUAUUGUCUCAAUCCCUCAACAUGAAUGGCAGCUGUGUCGAAAAGGAAUAACUUUCAUUUUAUUUUCAUAAUGUCAUGAAUUGCAUUUUUUAUUAUAGUAUUCAAAAUUAUGUGCUUUGCUUAUUGAUAACUG